rnacentral:rRNA from 1 species
CCAGUUUAUCCUGCUGGCGGCUACGGCUAUCUGGUUUGCACUUAGGCAUGCAAGUCUCUCGAAAGAGGGCAGACUGCUCAGUAACACGUAGCUAACCUGCCUUUAGGUCAAGAAUAGCCUCGGGAAACUGAGGGUAAUGCUUGAUAGGAGAUAAUUUCUGGAAGGAUUUAUCUCUGAAACUCGCGCCUAAAGAUGGGGCUGCGGUGGAUUAGGUUGUUGUUGGGGUAAAAGCCUAACAAGCCAACAAUCCAUAAGGGCUCUUAGCGGAGAAGCCCUGAGAAGGAAUCUUAGACACUAUUCCUAGCCCUAUGGGGUGCAGCAGCUGGGGAUUUUUUGCAAUGCGCGCAAGCGUGACAAAGCGAGCCAGAGUGUUUCUCUUUUUUGAGAAACUUUUGUCAGCUGUAAAAAGGCUGACGAAUAAGGACUGGGAAAGACUGGUGCCAGCCGCCGCGGUAAUACCAGCGGUCCAAGUCGUAGCCAUAAUUAUUGGGUCUAAAACAUCCGUAGCUUGUUUUGUAAGUCUUUUGUGAAAUUCUGUCUCUUAAGGACAGAGCGAGCAAUAGAUACUGCAAAGCUAGAGACUGGAGGAUGUGAGGAGUACAGUUGAAGUAGUGGUUAAAUACGUUGAUCUCAACUGGACUAACAACAGCGAAGGCACCUCACAAAUACAGUUCUGACAGUGAGGGAUGAAGGCUAGGGGCGCAAAACGGAUUAGAUACCCGUGUAGUCCUAGCAGUAAACUCUGCGCACUAAACAUCAGUACCUCCUCGAGAGGUAUUGGUGCUGUAGGGAAGCCGAAGAGUGCGCUACCUGGGAAGUAUAGUCGCAAGGCCGAAACUUAAAGGAAUUGGCGGGGGAGCACAACAACGGGUGACGCGUGCGGUUCAAUUAGAGUCCACACCAUGAACCUCACCAGGACCGACAGCAGAAUGAAGAUCAGUCUGAAGGGCUUACCUGACACGCUGAGCGGAGAUGCAUGGCCGACUUCAGCCUGUGUCGUGAGAUGACCUGUUAAAUCAGGUAACAGGCGAGACCCGCGUGCAUAGUUGCUACCUGAAGAAGGAGCACUCUAUGCAGACUGCUCUAGUAAUAGAGAGGAAGGUGCGGGCUACGUUAGGUGAGUACGUCCCUAAUGCCCUGGGCAACACGCGCGCGGCAAUGCUAUAUGCAACGGGAUGCAACUCCGAAAGGAGAAGCUAAUCUCUUAAUAUAUAGCCUAGUUCAGAUCGAGGUUUGAAACUCAGCCUCGUGACGCUGGAAUCCGUAGUAAUCGUUUUUUAGCAGAGAACGGUGAAUAUGUCAAGGUUCCUUGCACACACCGCCCGUCAAACCAACCGAGUUUUGCAUUGGUGAGGCUCUACGAGACGAGCUUUUGUAAGACAAGGUAGGUUAAGUCGACACAAGGU